AUUUCUAACACAACAGCCGAGAUGAAAAGACUGGCGAUUAUUUGCGUCGUUUUGGUUUGCGUCUUUACCUAUAACGAAGCUUGUUCAUGUAUACCGACUCAUCCCCAAGAACAGUUUUGUAACUCAGAUUUCGUUGUCAGAGCAAGGAUUUUGAGUCGGACGGUAACUGGCAGUACAGACUUAUUUGAGAAUGUAUUCUACACGGUGCUGAUAAGUCAGAACUACAAGGGAGGAACUCGAAUAGGUAGCAUAUCACAACGGAUAUACACUGCUCCCCACAGUGCUUCCUGUGGCGUGUCAUUUCAGAUUGGUCGUCAGUACAUCAUUGCUGGUUAUAUCUAAAACAAUAGAUGGAGAGCAAGUUUAUGUAGUUGGAACCCUCAAACAUCCUCACUUUCCCAAUUUCAGAGAAAUGCACUGAGAUAUGGUUAUUAUAGAGACAAUUGUUACUGUAAUGUCAGAGACUGUACCUUUACAAGUACCCCUCAAUGCCCAGUUUUAGGAAGGAACGAGUGUUUCAUCAGAAUCAACAGCGAUUGUUUCAGGAGGCAAAAUGUGUGCAUUUUUAACGAAAGGAGGUGCAGGUGGCAAUACGGAGCUUGCUUUGCGGUUUCAGGAUUAGGAUUAGGAUUUGGAUUUGCUUCUGGAAAUUAAUCUGCGAUUUUUUCGUUGAAAUUAAACAAUGACAAUAGAUUGUGGUUAUUCAU
rnacentral:misc_RNA from 1 species